rnacentral:rRNA from 1 species
UGAGGAAUAUUCCACAAUGGGCGCAAGCCUGAUGGAGCGACACCGCGUGAAGGAUGAAGAUCUAACGAUUGUAAACUUCUUUUCUGAGGGAGCAUAAUGAGAGUACUUCAGGAAUAAGCACCGGCUAAACUCGUGCCAGCAGCCGCGGUAAUACGAGUGGUGCAAGCAUUGCCCGGAAUCACUGGGUGUAAAGGGUUUGUAGGCGGACUGGCAAGUCAGGUAUGAAAGACCGGAGCUCAACUCCGCGUUUGUGCUUGAAACUAUCAGUCUAGAAUUAGGAAGGGGUAAGCGGAAUUCUAAGUGUAGGGGUGCAAUCCGUAGAUACUUAGAGGAACACCAAAAGCGAAGGCAGCUUACUGGGACUAUAUUGACGCUGAAAAACGAAAGCGUGGGGAGCGAA